UUAUUAUUUUUUCAUUUACUGCUUCAAAUUUCAUCGUUCCCUUUCUAAAAUUUCAAUGAGCGCAUUUCUGAAUUUUCAUUUCCCUCCCGAAUCACGAAAAUAGGGAAUAUAGUUUAAUUCUUGAUUGGUGAUUGUUGCAUAGAGACAGAGAAAAAGAGACUUCACUCCAAUUUAUUGAGAUAUUUGUAAAGCAAAAGAAAGAGAGAACCGAGAGAUUCAGUAACCCUAACUCUUUCUUCAUUCCAAAAGUAACCUUAACCCAUUCUUCUUCUUCCGAGCUUCUGCAACACCUAACCCUAACAUUUUUUCACGUCACAAGCUUCUCCUUCUUCUCUCGUGUAGGAUUCGUCACCCCAUUAAGAGCUUCUUUCACCUACGAGCUCUGAUUCAACUUGUGUCGCAACUUGCGUACAUGAUACUAUCGGUAUACGAGUUUUUGAUUCAUCCUGGUAAAAAUGUGAGAAAUUGUUGAAUCUCACAACAUAUUAUCGCAUGCUCCUGGCUAAUUAUAUCUGUACAUAACUUGACAUUGUUUGUAUUAGCUAUUAUAUGUAUUUUAUUUUAAGAUUUGUGAUAUGAACUUACUUGAUAAAUGUGUUCCUUGUGUAAUAUAUUUUGAGUCUCUCUGUCCUUGAUUUGUUUAAACUCAAAAUUAUAGUAUAUACUCUGUUAUAGUCUAUUGCAGAGUCUAGGUGUUCAGACGUCAAAUAAAAGAAGAAAAUGUUAAAUACAGUAUAAUGCCAUAAAACUCUUGUAUUUGAUGUAUUUAUCUACCCUUUAGAACCUGUCUUUCAGUUUACCCACUAAAUGCUAUAUGGGUAACACAUAAAAUGAAGACUAAUCUAUCCAUCAUGAAUAGGUGUCCAAAAAAUAUAGGAACAUUUGGAAUUCUCACAUGUUAAUGUUACUGCUAAACCUAUGCACUAGAUGCUCAGAUAUAAGUUCAAUGAAACAAAUGCAAAAAAUGAACUGAUAUGAGAAACAAAUUCAUCUACCUCAUAAAGAAGUAGUGUUUAUACUCUCUUCGACUGUAAUGUAUUCACAUAUAUCCCAUAUCAUUUCUUCAUUUUUAACCCUUAUCCAAAGCAACAUUUCAUAGUAACCCAAUUGUGAAAUUGAACUGGGAUUACCUGCUUGGAUAACAUCAUAGAAAAGUUAAAAUUCUUGAACAAGGCCCAUGUCAAUUAGACACUCAAGAAGUGGGUGAUAGGUUUUCUCUUUUAGCUAAUGCCCACAUUCCCUCAUUAAUUUUAAAAGGUGAUAAGUGUUGCCCAAUUUGUUAGUAGCAAUGUAUUCAUCAUCAGUCUCCCUAGCCUUCUUUAUGUAGAAUUACUGAUAAAUAGUGGAGUGAGUUAGAGUGUAUUGUUUAAUUUUGUAUCCAUGCAUCUUGUGUAAUGUUCAUGUUUACAUAUGUUAUUCAUAUGAAUAAAAUAUGCAAUUUAGUAUUCGUUUUAUGUCGAAGUCUGAUUUCGUAAAGUAUAGUCAAGGUGGGUGUGCUAUGCAGUUUUUCAUUUGCAGUAACCGCUCAAGUUUGUUGUUUCUGGUUUGUUCUAGUGCCAAGAGUUUUUUCGGUAUGGUGGGCCUAUCGACAAAGUUGUUUUGGUCUGCUUCAGGCUAUUCACACAGCCAUUUCGGUCAACUACGACCUAUCUCAGAGUUGUUUCGACCUUCCGUAGGCAUCAACAACUCUUUGGUCUUGUGCGAAUUAGUUGCUGGAAAUGGUUGAAAAGCUUAACAGAAUUUGCAUCAAGGAACAUAGUCAGAUAUAUUAACAUAUAUUUUAUAGGAAGGGCAUGCCACUAUUUGCGGAAUUACAUAACAUAGAGUAAAAUAGACACUUUAGACAAUGAUAUAAAAAUAUGUAUACUAGAGAACAUAUGUUUUUAAAAGUAACUAAGAAUUUAACUAAGUGUAGUAAAAACAUUUCAUAUAUUUGGUGUUCCUUGUAUUUAUUUGAUGAUCCUUAACUUGUGUAAUUGUCAACACAAACAUGUCAGCAUUAGGUUUAGAUUAAAGGCAAAGACAAAAGUAGACAAUCAUGUUUAAAGGUUAAUCCUUUGGAGAGAAAGAAAUAUGAUAAUUGAAACUUUUUUGAUUGUUUUACUUCAUGUAGAACAAUAUGGAUGGAGGGGACAACAUAACUUUGUCCAAUUGAAAUUGCUUUAAUCUUUCAGUUUUGUUCUGAUAUAACGUAGUCUAGCUUUUCUUAAGGUUGUGGUAUUUUAAUUGUUAUGUCAUUUUACUUUUAUUUACUACUAUUAUAUAUAUAAAAGAUUAGUGAGCAUGUGGAUCUAUGUGCUUGCAUAUAUGAAAUUAAUGAUCAUACUGACAAUCUUCCACUACAACAUUUUUACCCUAUAGCAACGCCUAGUUUUUGGGAGGUAAAAAUAUUAUUCUCAUAG